CAGAUUCCUACGGGAGGCAGCAGUGGGGAAUAUUGGACAAUGGGGGGAACCCUGAUCCAGCCAUGCCGCGUGUGUGAAGAAGGCCUUUUGGUUGUAAAGCACUUUAAGCGAGGAGGAGGCUUACCUGGUUAAUACCUGGGAUAAGUGGACGUUACUCGCAGAAUAAGCACUGGCUAACUCUGUGCCAGCAGCCGCGGUAAUACAGAGGGUGCAAGCGUUAAUCGGAUUUACUGGGCGUAAAGCGCGCGUAGGUGGCUAAUUAAGUCAAAUGUGAAAUCCCCGAGCUUAACUUGGGAAUUGCAUUCGAUACUGGUUAGCUAGAGUAUGGGAGAGGAUGGUAGAAUUCCAGGUGUAGCGGUGAAAUGCGUAGAGAUCUGGAGGAAUACCGAUGGCGAAGGCAGCCAUCUGGCCUAAUACUGACACUGAGGUGCGAAAGCAUGGGGAGCAAACAGGAUUAGAUACCCUGGUAGUCCAUGCCGUAAACGAUGUCUACUAGCCGUUGGGGCCCUUGAGGCUUUAGUGGCGCAGCUAACGCGAUAAGUAGACCGCCUGGGGAGUACGGUCGCAAGACUAAAACUCAAAUGAAUUGACGGGGGCCCGCACAAGCGGUGGAGCAUGUGGUUUAAUUCGAUGCAACGCGAAGAACCUUACCUGGCCUUGACAUACAGAGAACUUUCCAGAGAUGGAUUGGUGCCUUCGGGAACUCUGAUACAGGUGCUGCAUGGCUGUCGUCAGCUCGUGUCGUGAGAUGUUGGGUUAAGUCCCGCAACGAGCGCAACCCUUUUCCUUAUUUGCCAGCACUUCGGGUGGGAACUUUAAGGAUACUGCCAGUGACAAACUGGAGGAAGGCGGGGACGACGUCAAGUCAUCAUGGCCCUUACGGCCAGGGCUACACACGUGCUACAAUGGUCGGUACAAAGGGUUGCUACUGCGCGAGCAGAUGCUAAUCUCAAAAAGCCGAUCGUAGUCCGGAUCGCAGUCUGCAACUCGACUGCGUGAAGUCGGAAUCGCUAGUAAUCGCGGAUCAGAAUGCCGCGGUGAAUACGUUCCCGGGCCUUGUACACACCGCC
rnacentral:rRNA from 1 species